rnacentral:rRNA from 1 species
UACGAAGGGGGGCUAGCGUUGCUCGGAAUCACUGGGCGUAAAGGGUGCGUAGGCGGGUCUUUAAGUCAGGGGUGAAAUCCUGGAGCUCAACUCCAGAACUGCCUUUGAUACUGAGGAUCUUGAGUUCGGGAGAGGUGAGUGGAACUGCGAGUGUAGAGGUGAAAAUUCGUAGAUAUUCGGAAGAACACCAGUGGCGAAGGCGACACACUGGCCCGUUACUGACGCUGAGGCGCGAAAAGCGUGGGGGAGCAAACAGG